AUUUUUAUUUUAAUUUUAUUUGGUUUCAUUUUAUUUUAUAUAGAAAUAAAAAGACAUGUAGAAAGUUUCUCCAAACUAAAUGAAAUACAGCAUAAUGAACAUUGGAGAGCAAGUGAACGGAACGUAGAUAAAUGCUGAGAUAAAUGAACGCACACAAACACAUACACACACGCAAAUAUCUUGUUCUUAUUACUACAUAAAAGCAGAUGAAGCAACCACAACGCACGUGACAACGGUUUACAAAUGUAGAGCCUUUAUCUUAAAACAAUUGAAUUUCCAAAAUCUUUGGAUCUAUUUCUCUAUUCUUCUCUAUCUCUAAUACACACACACAGACACGCAGAAACACACAAGCAUACAACAGAAACACACAGCAUACACACAGAAACACACACGCAUACACACAGAAACACACACCAAUAAGAAAUGUAAAGAUUAGCAUGUAUUAAGCUACCUUCCCAGUUUCACGAGGUUUUAAGAAAGAUGCACAUUGUUCGUCUCUUGUUUAAUUGUGCACUGAAGUAGGUCUACUUGCCACUUUUGGGCUUUGUUGAUGUCAAAAUAAUGUCAACUGAAAACGUAAUGAUUUUUACAAAAACAGACCUCAGCAGCUCCAACCAAAGGUUCAAAUGUUUCUACAUAAAUCGAAUAAAUCAUUUUCAUAUCAAUGCAAUUGAAUAUAGUUUAUGAACAUUGGUAUUGAGUCAGUUUAUCAAACCUAAGCAUAUUAGCUUUUAGCAUAAACUAAGUCUAUUAGUACAUGCACUAUUUUUUAAGGCAGUUUUCGUCGAUUUAGUAAUAAGACAAAUGGAACUGAAAAUUGUCAAAUAGAUAGACACAUUGAAAACGUGAUUCCUGGUGUUCACAUUAUGUAGGAGGCUCAUGAAUAAUCUAUUUAAUUUACAUAAGACAGGCCCAAGAUUAAUUUAUUCAGUUGAAUGUUCAAAUUUUUAAAAUUUAAUGAUCAUAUUUAAAAAACAAAUACACAAUAAAAUAUACAUAAAAUCAAAGCUAAUACUGAUAUAAAUAACCCUUAACAUAAUUAUUGACGUAAUCAAAUUCAGAAAUCAGAAAUAAAAAACUAUGUACAUGAGAAAUGUAUGUUUGAAAACUCUUUUAAAAGAUCAAUAAUAAUAUAAUAUUCUAUCGAAUAACGAAAUAACCGAAACAAAAAUGUAAAACAUUGAUGUCGAAAAUCAAAAGAUAUUACAAAGCAAAAAUUUGAUAUUUCUUGAAUAAUUAAUGUUUGUCAAUCUAAUCAUGUUUGUUAUCACUUAAUGUUUGUUAUCACUUAAGGAUUGUU